CUUUUAAAGGAUAAUAGUUAAUCCUUUGGUUUUAGACACCAAAGCCCUUGGUGCAAGUCCAAGUAAAAGU
rnacentral:tRNA from 1 species